rnacentral:rRNA from 1 species
CCUACGGGGUGCUGCAGUGGGGAAUAUUGGACAAUGGGCGAAAGCCUGAUCCAGCCAUGCCGCGUGUGUGAAGAAGGCCUUCGGGUUGUAAAGCACUUUCAGUGGGGAAGAAAGCCUUGGGGCUAAUACCCUCGAGGAAGGACAUCACCCACAGAAGAAGCACCGGCUAACUCCGUGCCAGCAGCCGCGGUAAUACGGAGGGUGGCGAGCGUUAAUCGGAAUUACUGGGCGUAAAGCGCGCGUAGGCGGUCUGAUAAGCCGGUUGUGAAAGCCCCGGGCUCAACCUGGGAACGGCAUCCGGAACUGUCAGGCUAGAGUGCAGGAGAGGAAGGUAGAAUUCCCGGUGUAGCGGUGAAAUGCGUAGAGAUCGGGAGGAAUACCAGUGGCGAAGGCGGCCUUCUGGACUGACACUGACGCUGAGGUGCGAAAGCGUGGGUAGCAAACAGGAUUAGAUACCCGAGUAGUC